CUUCCCAGUGGGACGUGCCCUGAACACCUCACCAGGGAGGCGUCCAGGAGGCAUCCUGAUCAGAUGCCCGAGCCACCUCAACUGGCUCCUCUCGACGCGGAGGAGCAGCGGUUCUAUUCUGAGCCCCUCCUGGAUGACUGAGCUUCUCACCCUAUCUGUAAGGGAGAGCCCGGACACCCUGCGGAUAAAACUCAUUUCGGCCGCUUGUAUUCGCGAUCUCCUUCUUUCGGUCACUACCCACAGUUCGUGACCAUAGUUGAGGGUAGGAACCCUCAAAGGUUGCACAUUCUUGAAGUUGUUAAGUUAUAAUUUUGCGGGGGGUUCAACAUAUCUAGUAGAUACAAAUUGUAUUGUAAACCCAGUAUUGUGAGACGUAUCGAAUCGUGAGCCGAGUGUAUCGUUACACCCUUAGUAAGGACCCCAAAAAUGCAGAGCACCACUGUGCAUUCAAAAAUAUUUAUUGUUACGACACCCCUUCCCUCAUCCUCAAUGCUAUUAGUUAGUUAUAUAAUGCUAUUAGUUAGAAAAAAAGGGCAUGAAGGAUGUGUUGGACGUCCUGUCCAGAGUGACUUGGACAGUGUAGGGCAGAGUUGGAGUUGUGUCUUGAAGGUGGCAGGUCCAAAGCUCCUCGUUGACAUUGAUAACAUGGCCAUCCCGCCGUCCCUCUUAUUCGUCAGAAAUACCAAGGAUGCCGAUGACAUUCUUGUGAACCUCCUGCAAGAUGGCUGAUGCAGACGUGGAGUCCCAGGGAGAUGGGGAGUAAUGCCUCUGCUCCCGCCACAGGACGAGGUCAGCUGACACACCGUCCUGCUCCAAUGUAAGGGCACAGCCCCCAAUGGCAGGACUGACCCACUUCCGUAGACUAAGCUAAAUGGGGAAGAGGAGGAGAGUAAGGUGGCUAGCCAUGCAUUGCAUGUGUCAUACUGCUUGAGUGUUGGCGACUCCCUGUACUUACGGAGGUGACCAAGCCUUGGACAGUGCCAUAGCCAGUUACACCAUCUCUUAAGUGGUGCAUUGUAAAGUGGGGGCUUAACAACUCCACUGCCUGCUUUUGUAAAUCUGGCGCCACCACUUUUGGCACAGUUUUAAAAAACUGCGUCUCUCUCUUAAUAGAAAGAACCGGGUCUUUCCCCCUGAUGCUGUAUGUGCCAUACUGCCUAAUAUUGUGAUCCAGAAGGCUAAAUAAGUUAUUUUCCUGUUCUAUGCCAUGUAGUUCCUAAUUGCGUUCCUUGUUGCAAUUUGUUUUCCUAUGUGGU